UACGAAGGGGGCUAGCGUUGCUCGGAAUCACUGGGCGUAAAGGGUGCGUAGGCGGGUCUUUAAGUCAGGGGUGAAAUCCUGGAGCUCAACUCCAGACUGCCUUUGAUACUGAAGAUCUUGAGUUCGGGAGAGGUGAGUGGAACUGCGAGUGUAGAGGUGAAAUUCGUAGAUAUUCGCAAGAACACCAGUGGCGAAGGCGGCUCACUGGCCCGAUACUGACGCUGAGGCACGAAAGCGUGGGGAGCAAACAGGG
rnacentral:rRNA from 1 species